rnacentral:rRNA from 1 species
CGCGUGGGUAAUCUACCCCUGAAUCUGGAAUAACAUUGCGAAAGCGAUGCUAAUACCGGAUAACAUCAAAAAAUCCUUGGCUUUUUUGAUCAAAGAGGGUCUCUACAUGUAAGCUUUUGUUUAGGGAUGAGCCCGCGUACCAUUAGCUUGUUGGUAGGGUAACGGCCUACCAAGGCUACGAUGGUAGCUGGUCUGAGAGGAUGAUCAGCCACACUGGAACUGACACACGGUCCAGACUCCUACGGGAGGCAGCAGUGGGGAAUUUUGCGCAAUGGGGGAAACCCUGACGCAGCAACGCCGCGUGAGUGAUGAAGGCGUUCGGGUCGUAAAGCUCUGUCAAGUGGGAAGAACCGGAAAAAUAUUAAAAUGUUUUUCUCUGACGGUACCACUGAAGGAAGCACCGGCUAACUCCGUGCCAGCAGCCGCGGUAAUACGGGGGGUGCAAGCGUUAUUCGGAAUUAUUGGGCGUAAAGAGCGCGUAGGCGGUUUUUUAAGUCAGAUGUGAAAGCCCGGGGCUUAACCCCGGAAGUGCAUUUGAAACUAAAGAACUUGAGUAUGGGAGAGGGAAGUGGAAUUCCUGGUGUAGCGGUGAAAUGCGUAGAUAUCAGGAGGAACACCGGUGGCGAAGGCGACUUCCUGGACCAAUACUGACGCUGAGGCGCGAAGGCGUGGGGAGCAAACAGGAUUAGAUACCCUGGUAGUCCACGCAGUAAACUGUGAACACUAGGUGUAGCGGGUAUUGACCCCUGCUGUGCCGCAGCUAACGCAUUAAGUGUUCCGCCUGGGGAGUACGAUCGCAAGGUUAAAACUCAAAGGAAUUGACGGGGGCCCGCACAAGCGGUGGAGCAUGUGGUUUAAUUCGACGCAACGCGAAGAACCUUACCUGGAUUUGACAUCCCGGGAAUUCUUUCGAAAGACAGAAGUGCCCUUCGGGGAACCCGGUGACAGGUGCUGCAUGGCUGUCGUCAGCUCGUGUCGUGAGAUGUUGGGUUAAGUCCCGCAACGAGCGCAACCCUUAUCUUUAGUUACCAUCAUUCAGUUGGGGACUCUAAAGACACUGCCCCGGUUAACGGGGAGGAAGGUGGGGAUGACGUCAAGUCCUCAUGGCCUUUAUGUCCAGGGCUACACACGUGCUACAAUGGGCUGUACAGAGGGUCGCGACCCCGCGAGGGUGAGCCAAUCCCAAAAAGCAGUUCGUAGUUCGGAUUGGAGUCUGCAAUUCGACUCCAUGAAGCUGGAAUCGCUAGUAAUCGCGGAUCAGCAUGCCGCGGUGAAUCCGUUCCCGGGCCUUGUACACACCGCCCGUCACACCAC